UGCGUCUGUUGUUGCGUUUAGUUUAUAUCUAUCGUGAUUGGAUACGUUUGCAUUUACGGAACGCGAAUUAAAAAAAUAUCGAUAUUCGACAUCUGUCAAAGAAUCAGUAUUCCGGAAUUCUGCUUGAUGUGAUAUGAAUUUCGUGUAAUAUAAGUGUUUUAAUUAAGAUAAAAUACGUUUAAUCGGUGCAAUAAUGUGUUUUACUUGAUGUUUAUUGGAACUAUGUGGAUAUAAUGCAAAGAAUUUGUGAUGUGUUUUGUGUGUCUACAUAGUUUGUGAGGAUUGUACAGCUGCUUAUUGGGAUUAAAAAUACGCCUAUCGCCAUGUUCAACUUUAUGAAAAAGUCGGCGGUGCUAACGGGCGGUGACGCCGGCGGUUGUGAGGAGCGCGACGGCGAGAAAGAGAGACGGAAAAAGGAGAAAAAGGAGAGGAAAGAGAGGGAGAAACGGGAGAGGAUAGCGGCCGGCCUCGUCGAAGAACCUUUGAGGCUUGAGGAGGUGCGACGGUCACUGAAGCUGCGAGGCAGGCGCAAGGAAAAAGAGAAACUACCCUCAGGCAUAACAGCCGAUUACACUGCUUCGUUGUUUGCUCACUUGGAACAAGACUCCAAUUAUUCCAACUAUCCCCUCAUACCCACCUCGGGGUCCAAUUCGAACUUGAGUGAUGAGAACAAUCAUCUCUAUCCCGCCACGCACACUUGGAGCAAAAAGGAGGGGAUUUUACAAUCUGAUAGUUCCGAAACCUCUCUCAAUUCUCUAAACAAUCCAAACAAUGCUAACAGCAGUCCGCGACAACCGCCAAAUCUACCUCCUAUACCACCGCGACCACCAAAACGAGGAAUCCUCAAGGGCCCUCGCCUAAGUAAUACUAGUUCUAAUUCCCUAGAGAGCAAUGUCCAAAGUACAGACACCGUCGACAACGUCAAUGGCCAGGAUUCCAACUUGUUGGCUCGUAACACGCAACAAAAUGAGAUUAUCUCUUACGGAAUCCCGCCCUCGAAAAGCACCUCUUCCAGUGAUGAUUUACAGCAAAUGCAGAAUUUUACCAAAAAAGUCAUUCACAGUCCAGUGGAUACACAGUUUAAAAAUUAUAAGAAUAACGCAAAUAACCCUUCGAUAACGACACAAGAUGCUGACGCGAGAUCUGACGAAGCGCCAAAGACGAAUGGAAACAGUUAUCUUGGAGUAACUUCUACGUCGCCCAGUGCUGAUUCCUUGACCGACACUACAACGAAUUCGUCUUUCGCUACACCCCCGUUUUCUACUUCACCUGUUGGAGAAUCUCAAGGUUUUCACAGGUGGUCAAGGACUAGUAACUUCGACGAUGUUUACUUACCGCUACCAUCUCUAGCUCCAUUGCAAUUGCCUAAACCAAGAUUAUUGACUAUACAGAGACAAAAGGCGCCACGAAACGAUUUCGGCUUCAGCCUGAGACGAGCGAUGGUACAAGACAGGAUUUUCAUUGGAGAAAUGAAUGGCCACGAGAAUGGUUUAUUUAAUGGUGAUAAUAAAUGUAGCGGCACCGCCAACAUGAUUAGCAAAUUGACAUACAAAGCCGUAAUACUGGCUGAACCGGGCUCGUAUCCUGGUGCGAGCGAGACAGGGCUGCUACCCGGAGACCGACUGCUUGAGGUCAACGGCGUUAACGUAGAAGAGAAGAGCAGGGAAGAAGUGAUCGACCUUAUCAAGGGCAGUCACGAUUUUGUGACUAUUAAGGUGCAACCAAUAGCCGAGCUGUGCGAGCUGUCGCGCAGGCGCGCUGCGGACGGUGGCGGCGACGUGGAUCUCUCCGACAGCAACGUGCGGUGCGGCACCCUCAGCCGAUCGGGCAGUCGCAGGUUCAACAGCACUCAGGCCAAAUCCGAAGAGCAGCUCGCGUGCGAGAAGGAAUGGCUGCAGGCCGGCCACAUGUGGCUCGCGCAUCGCGGUGGGUUCACCGCCGUGGUGCGGGAGGGAGACGCGGACGCCGGCAGGGCCAAGGUUCGAGUCCUGCAGACCGGCGAAGUGCUCACCGUUGAUGAGGAUGACUUGGAAAAGGCCAACCCGCCGCAACUGGAACGCUGCGAAGAUAUUGCCUCCCUGCGCUGUUUGAACGAGUGCGGCGCUCUGAACGUGCUCCGCUCGCGAUACGCCGCCGGGCUGCCGCACGCCCGCGCCGGCCACGCACUCUUGGUAUUGGGACCGCCGAAACGCACCUCGCCUGUUUAUACUGAAAAGGUGGCGGCGAUGUUCCGCGGAUGUCGCGCUGAUGACAUGCCGCCGCACGUGUUCGCCGCAGCGCAGUCCGCGCACCGCUGCAUGCUCGCCUCGAGGCGGGACCGCGCGAUCGUGUUCCUGGGCAGAUCCGGCUCGGGCAAAACAUCUGCGAUGCGUCACUGCGUGUGGUAUUUAGCCAGCGCGUACCCUGCGCAGGGCUCGAAGCUCACGCCCGAACGACUCGACGCCGCCUUCGACGUACUCAACCUGUUUGGAUCUUGUCGCACGGGAUCGAACCCGUACGCGACCCGGUUCGUGUCGCUCGCGUCGUUGGACUUCGACGGCGGCGGCGCGCUGGUGUCCGCUUCGGUGCAGACGCUACUGCCCGACUUGAGACCUGGACACACGCUACUGAGAGCUUUGCAUACCCUAUACCACGGAUGCGACGGUCGUCUCCGCCGCGAGCUACUCCUGGACCAAGCGCCGGUGAACGCUCCGAACCCUUUCAUCAGCCCGAGCGAGAAAGCGGACGCGCCGAGCGAGUUCUCGGCGCUGAAGGAAGCGCUGCAGCUGCUGAAUGUGAAUGAGCAGGAGCAGAUGGCCGUGUGGAAGGUCAUGGCUGCUAUCUGCCAUUUAGGAUGGGCUGGCGCUGUGAAAGCGACCACGGGCUCGGUGAUAAAGUACCAAUUCGCGAGCGCGGGCUGCGGACAGCGCGCGGCGCGCCUGCUCGCCGUCGGCGCGGACGACCUCGCGCGGGCAGUGUUCGCGACUGUACCCACCUCGCCGCAACCCAAUGCCAACCUCAGAACUCCAUCUCCAUCGAACGAGAAAGAAAUGUCCGGCACAGAAGCGUUGGACGCAUUCGUAACCGGCCUCUACAAUGAGACGUUCAACAUGAUCGCGGCAUUAGUUAACAGGAGCGUGUCGUCGUCGUCGCGGACGUCUGCGUCGAUAUUGUUGCUGGACGCGCCCGGCGCCGACAACCCCAUGUGCGCCGGACAGCAGAGCGGCGCGCCGCUCUCCAAACUGCUCUCCAACUACUUACAGGAGCGUCUGCAGGCGGUGUUCCACGGGGCGCUGCUGGUGGCGCCGCGCGACCGGUACGCGCAGGAGGGCAUCACACUCGACAUCGGCGCAGAAGAAGACUGGCUGUCAGAGACCGUGAACCCCGGUCCGAUGGUGGAGUUGCUAGACAAGUCGCCGCAGAACAGCAUCGUGCGGAGCUCGCAGGCAGACCUCAGGGAGUGCGACCGACGUGGACUGUUGUGGCUACUAGACGAAGAGUCGAUGUACCCCGGCUCGUCGGACGACACGUUCCUGGAGCGAGUGAUGACGCACUACGGCGCGCCGAACCAGACGCAGUACCUCAUCAAGAAGGCGCCGCACGCCAGACAGUUCGUCUUACAGCAUUUGCAGGGAACCAACCCAGUUCUGUAUGACGUUACCGGUUGGGUCAAAGCAAGUCGAGAGAAUCCAGUGACGAAAAAAGCUCUGACACUGCUACAGGAGAGUCAAAACGAGGAGCUGUCGCGCAUGUGGUCGUGGUGCCGCGGCGCGAGCGGCGCCAGCGCGUGGGCGGGCGCGCCGCACGACCACAGCACGCUGCGCCGCGCCUCCUCCAUCCGCCGCACACUCACCACCGGCACCGCGGGCAUGAAGCGUCGCUCGACGGCGCUGCAGGCGAAGUUCGUGGCGGACGGCGUGGUGGACACGCUGCGGCGCUGCGGCGCGGGCGGCGUGCAGUUCGUGUGCUGCCUGCUCGCCAACCAGCCCGCCGACGCCAACGACGACGUCAACAUACCGCUGCUGCGCUCACAGUUCCGCGGAUUUCAACUGUUGGAUGCGGCUAGGCUGUACAAGCAAGGCUUCCCGGAACACAUGCCGCUCAAUGAAUUCGCUAGAAGGUACCGGUUGUUAGCAACAUCAGAGAGCGAGAAUGAGUCGGCACCACAGACCACGCUGUCAGACCGGCAGAUCGUCGACGACAUGCUCCUCACCCUCGACUUGGACGUGUCCAGCUACAGGCUGGGGCUCACACAAAUCAUGUUCCGCGGCGGCGUGGUGGGCGGUCUGGACGCGCGGCGCGACGCUGCCCUGGCGCGCGUGCUGGUUCGGUUGCAGGCUCGCGCGCGCGGUCUGCUCGCGAGGCGGCGCGCGCAACGGCUCCGCACGCAGCACACUGCCGCGCGUUGCAUACAGCGCAACGUGCGCGCGUUCCUCGCCGUGCGCGACUGGCCCUGGUGGAGACUCUUGGUGCGCGUUACGCCGCUGCUCGCCGUGCAUCGUACUGAGCACAGGCUUAAACAGGCCCAGGACGAGUUGGAGACACUACGAGCGAAGUUGGACAAAGUGGAAAGCGAACGCACCCACCACAAGAACGAGAACGAACGGCUCGAGACUAAGCUAUCAGAAGUCGGCGGUGAGUUGGCAGAAGAGCGUGCCGCGGCUGCACUCGCAACAGAACGCGCGGAUGCCGAGGCAGCCGAGAGGCUUCGCGUAGAACGCGACAACAGAGACUUGGUCGCCAACAACCAACGGUUACAACAGGCGUCGGAGCGUUUAGAACUGGAAUUACUUCAUUGGCGGUCUGCGGAAAGCGGUGGAGCUGAACCUUCUGACUCCGAGGGCUCUGAAGCUGACGUCAGCGGCGCCGGAGACAAAUACAAGAGGAGAUAUGAGAGAGCUCAUCGGGAACUGCAACUCCUGCGCGCGCAACUGCGCAGGCAACACGAAGAUGAUUUGGAGCAACUCGUUACUGUCAAGAAACAACUUGAAAAGAAGGUCCAAGAUGCAUACGAGGAGGUGGAGGAACAGAGAGCGGUGGCGGCGCAGUGGAAGCGCAAGCUGCAGAAACUCACCAACGACAUGGCCGACCUGCGCUCGUUGCUCGACGAACAGACUUGCCGCAACAAUUUGCUUGAGAAGCGGCAGCGCAAGUUCGACAGCGAGUUGCACGCUGCCCAGGAGGAGCUCAAGAGAGAGCGCGCGGCGAAGGAACGACUCUCGCGCGAGCGGGACCAGGCGCACGCAGAGAAAUACGCACUUGAGCAGAGCCUCUCUGAAGCUCGCCUGGAGCUGGAGCUGAAAGAGGAGCGGCUGGCGGCGGCGACGCGCUCCGGCGCGCGCGCACAGACCUGGAGCGGCGCCUGCGCGACCAGGAGGAGGAGCUCGACGACCUCGCUGGACAGAUACAGUUGCUGGAGAGUUCGAAGCUGCGCUUGGAGAUGUUGCUGGAGCAGCAACGCAAGGAGGCGAGACUGGAAGCCGCCGCGCGAGAUGACGAGAUGGAGGAGACCAGGGCCAACGCUGCCAAGAAACUUAAGAUGCUGGAGAGCCAGCUGGAGAGCGAGCACGCGGAGCGCAGCGGCACGAGCUGGAGCGGCGCCUCGCCUCGCUCGAGGAGACCGCGCGCGCGGAGAACCACGACCAGGCGCAGCUCGUGCAGAGGCUCAAGAGGGACCUGAAAAGAUACAGAGCUCUGCUGCGCGACGCACAAACUAUGCUUGAACAGAAGGAAAAAGAAGGCGGUGGCAAGGCUCAGAUCAGACAGCUCAAGAAUCAGGUGGAAGACCUGGAGCUGGCAGUCCGUGCGGCGACGAAGUCGAAGCAGGCGGCGGAAGCGGAAGCGGCGGAAGCAAACGCAGCGCUGGAGGAGGCAACGCGCGCACGCGCCGACGCCGCCGAGCGCGCACUCAGCGCCGCACGCGACGCCGCCGCCGCGCGCGCGCAGCUCGACGACGCAGAGGAGGAGGCCGCCGAG
rnacentral:misc_RNA from 1 species